AGGAGGAGGAGGAGGAGGAGAUAAUUAUUCUUGAAUGUUAAUUAGCUAACACUUGCUCAACAAAAAUUAUUUUUAAAUCUCCAUAUCAUAUAAACUGGGAAAGUUUUGCGUUGCUCAGGUCAUUCAACUAUUCAAUCCUAAUGCCAGAAAAAAAAAAAUCUUUGGUAGUUAGGUAGGUGGGUGGGAUUUAUUUAUUUAUUUAUUUUU
rnacentral:misc_RNA from 1 species